rnacentral:rRNA from 1 species
UACGUAGGGUGCGAGCGUUGUCCGGAAUUAUUGGGCGUAAAGAGCUUGUAGGCGGUCUGUCGCGUCUGCUGUGAAAAUCCGGGGCUCAACCCCGGACUUGCAGUGGGUACGGGCAGACUAGAGUGUGGUAGGGAGACUGGAAUUCCUGGUGUAGCGGUGGAAUGCGCAGAUAUCAGGAGGAACACCGAGUGGCGAAGGCAGGU